rnacentral:sRNA from 1 species
AAACUCUGUUCCCAGAUGAUUUGUGUGUGAAUGUUUGGGAUAUAAACCAAAGAUAUCGGGGUUUAAAACCACGGGAACUUCCAAAGAUUUCACUGAGAAUAGAAAUUUCUCUACGGCAACAGUACUAGUCCGACAGGGGGCGCUCUGUGCUGACGACAUAACCUUCGUGUCUGUUCGAAUCAAGAAGUUUUAAUGUCUUGGAACGUCCCCUACCGGUGCAUCUAGCCAUUAAAUGGUCGUUAACCUAGAGUCAAGCAGGUUUCUGAGGAGAAACAUUUCGUUUUUACCUUUGGUUUGUUGUUGAGUUACGUGCGGCUACUGUCUUGAAAGAACGGUUGUUUAGCAGUCAGAAAGCGAAGCUCGCCGCGUGAGCAAGCUACUAACGUGUCAUCGAGACUAAAGAGCAUUUAUCAAUGCUGAGUGUUGGAUGCUUUGUCUUCUUUACCUUUAGUCAUUAGAAUUAAACUUACAAUUG